rnacentral:rRNA from 1 species
GACGAACGCUGGCGGCGUGCUUAACACAUGCAAGUCGAGCGGGGAGAUUGCCUUCGGGUGAUCUUCUAGCGGCGGACGGGUGAGUAACGCGUGAGCAACCUUUCCUCUACUGGGGAAUAACACCGGGAAACUGGUACUAAUACCGCAUGAGACCACAGAGUCGCAUGGCUUAGGGGUCAAAGAUUUAUUGGUAGAGGGUGGGCUCGCGUCUGAUUAGGUAGUUGGUGAGGUAACGGCUCACCAAGGCGACGAUCAGUAGCCGGUCUGAGAGGAUGAACGGCCACAUUGGGACUGAGAUACGGCCCAGACUCCUACGGGAGGCAGCAGUGGGGGAAUAUUGGGCAAUGGGCGAAAGCCUGACCCAGCAACGCCGCGUGAAGGAAGAAGGCCUUCGGGUUGUAAACGUUCUUUUACCUAGGGACGAAGAACGUGACGGUACCUGGAGAAAAGCAACGGCGUAACUACGUG